AACGUAGGUACCGAGCGUUAUCCGGAUUUACUGGGCGUAAAGCGCGUUCAGGCGGUUUGGCAAGUCGGGCAUGAAAUCUCUCGGCUCAACCGGGAGAGGUUGUCCGAUACUGCUGGACUUGAGGGCAGUAGAGGGUGGUGGAAUUCCGGGUGUAGUGGUGAAAUGCGUAGAUAUCCGGAGGAACACCAGUGGCGAAAGCGGCCCCCUGGACUGUACCUGACGCUGACACGCGAAAGCUAGGGGAGCGAACGGG
rnacentral:rRNA from 1 species